rnacentral:other from 1 species
AGACACCUGCGGUGUACGGAACGCGGAGAAUGCGUAAUCCACAUUAUUUUUUCGGGAGCGCCCGUUGGUUGCGAUAGGCAAGGUCUGUUUUACGGAAAGUCUGAAGCGCAAACACCGCGCACCCACCUGCUGAAAGCGGGUUCAUACUUUUUUCGCGUUGCGGCACAGGCGGAUGUCUU